AUGCUCCAUUCAGCAGCACAUAUAAUAAAAUUGGAACAAUACAGAGAUUAGCAUGGCCCCUGUGCAAGGAUGACAUGCGAAUUUGUGAAGUAUUCUAUAUUUGU